GACGAACGCUGGCGGCGUGCUUAACACAUGCAAGUCGAACGGAAAGGCCCUGCUUUUGUGGGGUGCUCGAGUGGCGAACGGGUGAGUAACACGUGAGUAACCUGCCCUUGACUUUGGGAUAACUUCAGGAAACUGGGGCUAAUACCGGAUAGGAGCUCCCGCUGCAUGGUGGGGGUUGGAAAGUUUCGGCGGUUGGGGAUGGACUCGCGGCUUAUCAGCUUGUUGGUGGGGUAGUGGCUUACCAAGGCUUUGACGGGUAGCCGGCCUGAGAGGGUGACCGGCCACAUUGGGACUGAGAUACGGCCCAGGCUCCUACGGGAGGCAGCAGUGGGGAAUAUUGCACAAUGGGCGGAAGCCUGAUGCAGCAACGCCGCGUGCGGGAUGACGGCCUUCGGGUUGUAAACCGCUUUCGCCUGUGACGAAGCGUGAGUGACGGUAAUGGGUAAAGAAGCACCGGCUAACUACGUG
rnacentral:rRNA from 1 species